rnacentral:lncRNA from 10 species
UAGGUUUGGAAGUCACCAAGUUUCAGUGCGGGGAGGUUCCGGGCAGCAAGUAGUUAGGCGGCUGCUCCACCCGCUUGCCCCAGGCCCCAGACGUCUGGCACCAGGCGUCAGCACCAGGGAUUCCAGAUGAAGGUUCCAGCGAAAGCUUUAGAAGGGCUUCAAACCGAGCUCCGGGAGGCCCUGACAUUUUUUAUCAGGACAUCAGCUAGAAGGGCCUUUUCCUGGAGAACAUUACAGUUGGAAAUAACUAAAUAAGUGAAACUUUCGAAGGGGGAUAUGGUUAACAAGACACACAGAUUGGGAAGAAAAAUAAGUAAUUUGAGAGGAGGUGGGAGUGUGUGUAGAAGCUUUGUUGCAGCUGGAAGGUGCUAGGAUGAGAACUCACGACAAAGAGCUGCGGGUGGGAAGAGCCCAGCCAGGUGCUGUCUGCGAUUCAGUAUCCUCUGAACAUCAGCUCCACACAGCCAGGGGCAAACAGUUUCCUUCACAACACGACUCAGCUCAGGGAGCAGGAUCGGGGAAAGGAGCCCUCCUGCCUAACCCUCAACGCAGAAAGAGCAGCGGCUGCGCCAGGACUCCCCAUGAAGUGAAGUGGAAACGAUUUCACAGCAAAUGGGGUGGAUGGCCAGGGGCUCCUGUCAGGUCUGAGACCCGGGGCCGGGAGUGGGCUGGGCAUGUGAGCAGGGCCCCAAACCAUGGGCAUUGGUUCCUGCUUCCUCUACUGUUUCUAUUUUGGCACCUGCUUGAAAGCAGUUCUUCAUCAUCUGGCUAGAUUGUCACAGUUUGGGGUAAAAGAGAAAUAAAACAGGCA